CAGCUGGGGUAGGGGUGUAAUCUUUCAGGUUUUUUUUGUAAGAAAUAAGUGUAGACUAGUAUUCUUUAUUGUAAUAUGUUUCAUAGUAAGAAGUCUAUGCAUCAUAGGUAUCAUGACUGAUUUCAAGUUUGUAAUGUCUUGGUUAAGGUGGCACGGUAGUAUUUGCAUUCCAGAAUUUGGGUUGCUCUUUUGUGUACCCUACCUAAGUCAAUGUAUCUGAACAGUGUGAUUGGACAAAAAAUACAGUAUCAACUGAACACACUUUCUCAAACUGAGGGAUGAAUCAGGUGUAGAAAAAUAUGAAAUAAUUUUACAACCAGAUGAAAAUGAAUUUUUGAGAAUUUUUUUAAAAUGUGUAUUCACUGCAUGAUAAAAG
rnacentral:lncRNA from 1 species